CAGACUUGCAGCAAACGUGGCUGUCCGAACCUUCUGGGAGCUUGUUAAAAUUGAGACCAUCAAACGAGGGACAGCCACGGCUUUAGAAGAAAGCUGCCAGUGCGGAUUUGCUUGUUUUAGGCCCGGAGUCGUCUGAUUUUCACGAGACAGUAACGCAGCGAAGUUGAAACCCAGCUUCGCAAAGAUACAACACGUUGAAAGAACUGUGAUGUGAUUUCACGCCGAAACUGUGAACUCCCCCUUGGACUCGCGGUGUGUGGAGCGUCCAAACAGACGUCUGAAGUCGCCAUCUGAAAGAAAAAGAAAACGAAGAACAACACAAAAAACUUUUAAAGAAACACAGAGACACACAUAGUAAUAAAGCAGUUCACCCACGUAAGCAUCUUGACAUUCUC